CUGCCUGAGUGACUCCACUCCGCUCCGCUCAAGACGAAGGCCCAGCUCCCGGCCAAUCUGGCUGUGGAAGUGGGAAGUGGAAACUCCGGGAGGCUGCACCGGGGGCUGGCAGGGUGGUGUGGGGUGAGUCGCCCGGGCCAGGCUCUGGUCUGUCCCUGUCCUGGGCAGGGGCCUGCCAUCUCCCUGUCUGUGCUCACUGCCCGGCAGGGAGAAUGUCCAAAGUUCUCCCUGGGGGGCUGGAGGGCCUGGGAGCAGGUCCUGCAUGCAGCUCUGGCCACACACAGCAGCUGCCCACUAAACUCCCACAGUCGCCUCCUCACUGCCUGCCGGGUGGAGGCCGGAGGGAAAGGUGCAGCCCCAGCGUGGACGACACCAGAUUCUAAAAGGAAACCUUCUUAGAGACCUCAGAGCACCUCAUCUUGACGUCCUUUGGCUCUGAGCACAAAGGGGAGGGGCGCAGCCUAGCUUCCAGCCUGCUUGGAGGGUGGAGGGCGCCCAGCAGACUGAGAAGACCCCCGCCUUCCGGCCUUAGCCUUCGUCCUCUCGCUCCCCCACCCAGCACCGCCAGAGCGGGAAGUGUGUCUCCACAGCAGUAUAGUGGCCUGGGUUUAUGACCCCUCCCUAGCCCUCUG
rnacentral:lncRNA from 1 species